rnacentral:rRNA from 1 species
GAUCAUGGCUCAGGAUGAACGCUAGCUACAGGCUUAACACAUGCAAGUCGAGAGGCAGCAUGGUCUUAGCUUGCUAAGGCCGAUGGCGACCGGCGCACGGGUGAGUAACGCGUAUCCAACCUGCCUUACACUCUUGGACAGCCUUCUGAAAGGGAGAUUAAUACAAGAUGUUAUCAUGAGUAAGCAUUUUCGCAUGAUUAAAGGUUUACCGGUGUAAGAUGGGGAUGUG